rnacentral:lncRNA from 1 species
CCCUUUUAACUUAGAAUGAGCUCUCUCUCAAAAGAGGAGGGCUCGCUCUAAAAAAAAAGGAAACAAAACAAAAACUCUCUCUCAGCUCUCAGCUCUCUCUCUCGCUGGCUCUCUCUCCCUCUCAACUCUCUCUCUCAACACUCUCAACAAUCUACACUAUUACUCAAUCUUCCCUCUACACAAUCUUAAAAUCCUAAAAUACUCUACUGUCAUAUUUUCCUUCAAACACUCUUUUGAGUUGAUUUGAGGGAAAAUUGCUAUUAGAUAUUAAUUUAGGUGAACUAAAGCAUAAAAAGAAAAUAACAAAAAAAAAAAAAUAAAGAAAAUACAUUCAAAUCCUUGGAAACAAAGCUUCUGGCAGAUCCGAUCUAUUUAUAAUCCCGAAUCUGAGGAUCAGGUAAUUUUCUUAACAUUUUUGUAUUUUUUACAUAUUUUUAUGUAUUGUUUGUGAUUUUAAUAAUUUAAGUUUCUUUAAAUUAUAUUCUGUUCAUGUUUGGCUAUUUUAUAUAUCCUUAAAUGGUAUUUGAACAAGAAACCAUAAACAAAAAAAAAUCAUUCAAAAAUAAAUUCGGGACAAAAAAAAAAAAAAUAUGCAGUGUUAUUAAUAAAAAAAAUCCACUGUUCACAUACUAUUCACACACUAUUCACGCACUGUUUAGACACUAUUNNNN